rnacentral:lncRNA from 1 species
UUUUAUUAUUAAGAUUUUAGCUCUUAAUAGGUCUUAAUCAUUAAGAUCUAGAAUCAAGUCUUAAUAGGUCUGAGAAGGUAUUCUAGUGUUGGAUAAUAUUCACCGCCACUCUAUUCAUAAUCAUCAAUUACCACCACUAACCACCUCUUCCACCACCACCAUUGUCAACCACCGCCCACCACUACCAACCAUCUCUACCAUC